AGGGCCUCCCCACCCGGGGGUGGGCAAAGCGGAGGUCCCAGCAGCGCAUGCGCAGGCGGCCGCCCGCCUCCCCGCCGCGGCCCGCGGGGUCCCGCCCCGCCGGCACCACAGCGAGCAGCGGCCUUCGCCGGGAGAAGGCGGCAGCUGCGAGUGGCGAGCCCCGAGCUGAGGAAGGUGUUACUCUGGAGCCUGCAUGGGUAAUGGGAGAAGGCUGGAGAAGUGAAGCUCCAUGGGGACCUCAGAGCAGCUUCCAGUGUGUGAAGGGGGCUACAAGGAUGCUGGGGAGGGACUCUUCAUUAGGGACUGGAGUGAUAGGACAAGGGGUGAUGGGUUCAAACUGAAACAGGGGGAGUUCAGGUUGGAUAUAAGGAGAAGUUCUUUACUGUGGGGGUGCUGAGGCACUGGAAUGGGUUGCCCAGAGAAGUGGUAAAUGCUCCAUCCCUGGCAGUGUUCAAGGCCAGGUUGGACAGAGCUUGGGUGACAUGGUCAAGUGUGAGGUGUCCCUGCCCAUGGCAUGGGGUUUGGAACUGGAUGAUCUUAAGGUCCUUUCCAACGCAAACCAUACUACAAACAAGGAAUAUGUUAAGCAAUCAAGUAAUCAAGCAGGGAGUAUGCCUGAUGUGGAGGCUUUGUCACAUGUGUCAGAGGUGAAAGCAAGCUUAGGAAAAAGAACCAGGAGAUGGAAGACUGGAUGGUUGGAGGAGAAAAAAGAGUUAUUCACCAAAUAUGGCUUGCUAGUAGUUUGAGGAAUCAUGGAAUCAGAAUGGUUUGGGUUGGAAGGGGCCUUAAAUCUCCUCAAGUUCCAGCCCCCUGAAAUGAGCAGGGACAUCUUCAACUAGAUCAGAUUGUGCAAAAGUAGGUGAAGUAGCUAUAAAAUCUAUAAAUGCUGAUGGCAAAUGAUAAUGGUUUCAGGUAUGGUAGUGCUGCAGUGUGAGAAUUCAGCUGUGAUAUAUUUUCUAUAUAUUUUCAAAAUCACAUUAAAAAGUAUCCUGACAUGGAGAUCUGUUGGGCUUUGGGAAGCAGAAUGUAAACAUGGGAAGCAGCCAAAGUCUUUGUUGUUUAAAAAAAGUGCAUAAGGGGAAAUAAACCAAAAAAAUUUACUUGUUUCUUUUAGCAUGGCUUCAAGACUUGUAAGCUGUUCUGUAU